rnacentral:rRNA from 1 species
UACAGAGGUGCCAAGCGUUAGGCGGAAUCACUGGGCUUAAAGCGCGUGUAGGCGGGUCGUUAAGUGUCCGAGUGAAAUCCCACGGCUCAACCGUGGAACUGCCGGGCAUACUGGCGAUCUUGAGGCAUUCAGGGGCGAGCGGAACAAAUGGUGGAGCGGUGAAAUGCGUAGAGAUGUGGAGGAACACCGAUGGCGAAGGCAGCCUCCUGGGAUGACACUGACGCUCAUACACGAAAGCGUGGGGAGCAAACAGG